rnacentral:rRNA from 1 species
UACGAAGGGGGGCUAGCGUUGCUCGGAAUUACUGGGCGUAAAGCGCACGUAGGCGGCUUUGUAAGUUAGAGGUGAAAGCCCGGGGCUCAACUCCGGAAUUGCCUUUAAGACUGCAUCGCUAGAAUUGUGGAGAGGUAAGUGGAAUUCCGAGUGUAGAGGUGAAAUUCGUAGAUAUUCGGAAGAACACCAGUGGCGAAGGCGACUUACUGGACACAUAUUGACGCUGAGGUGCGAAAGCGUGGGGAGCAAACAGG